UAGUGACAAGAAAUAACAAUACAGGGCUAAUGUCUUGUAAUUGGAAUGAUGGUGACCCAAACCCUCACCAGAGUAGCAAUUGGAGGGCAAGUCUGGUGCCAGCAGCCGCGGUAAUUCCAGCUCCAAUAGCGUAUAUUAAACUUGUUGCAGUUAAAAAGCUCGUAGUUGAAUUUUAGCGUGUUCGAGUUUGCCAUUCGUUUGGCUUUUUCGAGUUCGCUUUUGGGUUUUCCCUUUUUACUUUGAGAAAAUUAGAGUGUUUCAAGCAGACUUUUGUCUUGAAUACUUCAGCAUGGAAUAAUAGAGUAGGACUUUGGUUCUAUUUUGUUGGUUAUUGAACCUUAGUAAUGGUUAAU
rnacentral:rRNA from 1 species